GAUGAAGAACGUAGCGAAAUGCGAUAAGUAAUGUGAAUUGCAGAACUCAGUGAAUCAUCGAAUCUUUGAACGCACAUUGCGCCCCCUGGUAUUCCGGGGGGCAUGCCUGUCCGAGCGUCAUUGCUGCCCUCAAGCACGGCUUGUGUGUUGGGCUCCGUCCCCCCGGGGACGGGUCCGAAAGGCAGCGGCGGCACCGAGUCCGGUCCUCGAGCGUAUGGGGCUUUGUCACCCGCUCUGUAGGCCCGGCCGGCGCCAGCCGACAACCAAUCAUCCUUUUUUCAGGUUGACCUCGGAUCAGGUAGGGAUACCCGCUGAACUUAAGCAUAUCAAUAAGCGGAGGA
rnacentral:misc_RNA from 1 species